UUCCAGGAAAUCACCAACUAGGCCAAAUAAUAACAAAUUCCAUGUUAAUGGAGUUUUGAAUGAGUUCCAAUUCCAUUCUGCUCCCUCCCAUGGUUGCCAGGCGACUGGUUUUCUCCGUGAUUGCAGGCUAUUGGUUUUCAAGGCUACUGUAGUGCUGGAGAGGGAAUGUCCUCCCUCCUAAUUACCAUGGAGUGGGUUCCUUCUGCUCCCAGCUCAAUGUCAUCUCUACAGAAAGCCCUUUGCUAACCAUCCCCUGAAACAGACUCAAAAGGAUUAAGUCACCCACCUGUGGACACACGGGGUGAAGAAACAAUUUGAAUGUCCAAUGAGACAGUGGAAACUGAAUAAACAUACUGCCUAAUAACAAGUGAUGGAGGCAAAAG